GACGAACGCUGGCGGCGUGCCUAAUACAUGCAAGUCGAACGCUUUUUCUUUCACCGGAGCUUGCUCCACCGAAAGAAAAAGAGUGGCGAACGGGUGAGUAGCACGUGGGUAACCUGCCCAUCAGAAGGGGAUAACACUUGGAAACAGGUGCUAAGACCGUAUAACACUAUUUUCCGCAUGGAAGAAAGUUGAAAGGCGAUUUUGCGUCACUGAUGGAUGGAACCGCGGUGCAUUAGCUAGUUGGUGAGGUAACGGCUCACCAAGGCAACGAUGCAUAGCCGACCUGGGAGGGUGAUCGGCCACACUGGGACUGAGACACGGCCCAGACUCCUACGGGAGGCAGCAGUAGGGAAACUUCGGCAAUGGACGAAAGUCUGACCGAGCAACGCCGCGUGAGUGAAGAAGGUUUUCGGAUCGUAAAACUCUGUUGUUAGAGAAGAACAAGGAUGAGAGUAAAAUGUUCAUCCCUUGACGGUAUCUAACCAGAAAGCCACGGCUAACUACGUGCCAGCAGCCGCCGUAA
rnacentral:rRNA from 1 species